AUUUGCAAACAUAUAUAAAAAAUGUUAGAUGUACUUAGGAGUAGGCCAUGGCGAUAACACUGAAAACUGAAAAAGGAGUCCAAUAUAAAUUUCAAAGUGCUUUAUCCUGAUCUAGAACGUUGCACUAGUGACCACUAUACUAUUUCUUUUAUUU